rnacentral:rRNA from 1 species
AUACCGCGAAACUGCGAAUGGCUCAUUAUAUAAGUUAUCGUUUAUUUGAUAGUACCUUACUACUUGGAUAACCGUGGUAAUUCUAGAGCUAAUACAUGCUGAAAAUCCCGACUUCGGAAGGGAUGUAUUUAUUAGAUUAAAAACCAAUGCCCUCUGGGCUCACUGGUGAUUCAUGAUAACUUCUCGAAUCGCAUGGCCUUGCGCCGGCGAUGUCUCAUUCAAAUUUCUUCCCUAUCAACUUUCGAUGUUUGGGUAUUGGCCAAACAUGGUCGCAACGGGUAACGGAGGGUUAGGGCUCGACCCCGGAGAAGGAGCCUGAGAAACGGCUACUACAUCUAAGGAAGGCAGCAGGCGCGCAAAUUACCCAAUGCCGACACGGCGAGGUAGUGACAAUAAAUACUGAUACAGGGCUCUUUUGGGUCUUGUAAUUGGAAUGAGUACAAUUUAAAUCCCUUAACGAGGAACAAUUGGAGGGCAAGUCUGGUGCCAGCAGCCGCGGUAAUUCCAGCUCCAAUAGCGUAUAUUAAAGUUGUUGUGGUUAAAAAGCUCGUAGUUGAACCUUGGGCCUGGCUGGCCGGUCCGCCUCACCGCGUGUACUGGUCCGGCCGGGCCUUUCCCUCUGUGGAACCUCAUGCCCUUCACUGGGUGUGCUGGGGAAACAGGACUUUUACUUUGAAAAAAUUAGAGUGCUCCAGGCAGGCCUAUGCUCGAAUACAUUAGCAUGGAAUAAUGAAAUAGGACGUGCGGUUCUAUUUUGUUGGUUUCUAGGACCGCCGUAAUGAUUAAUAGGGACAGUCGGGGGCAUCAGUAUUCAAUUGUCAGAGGUGAAAUUCUUGGAUUUAUUGAAGACUAACUACUGCGAAAGCAUUUGCCAAGGAUGUUUUCAUUAAUCAGGAACGAAAGUUAGGGGAUCGAAGACGAUCAGAUACCGUCGUAGUCUUAACCAUAAACUAUGCCGACUAGGGAUCGGACGACGCUUUUUCUUGGCUCGUUCGGCACCUUACGAGAAAUCAA